GGGAGGCAGCAGUAGGGAAUUUUCGGCAAUGGAGGAAACUCUGACCGAGCAACGCCGCGUGAAUGAAGACAUAUUUCAGUAUGUAAAGUUCUUUUAUUAGGGAAGAAUAGCCCAUGGAAAAAUGGGUGUGACGGUACCUAAUGAAUAAGCCCCGGCUAACUAUGUGCCAGCAGCCGCGGUAAUACAUAGGGGGCAAGCGUUAUCCGGAAUUAUUGGGCGUAAAGGGUGCGUAGGCGGCCAUUUAAGUCUUUGGUAUAAGUGCAGUGCUUAACGCCGUGAUGCUAAGGAAACUGAAUGGCUUGAGUGAGAUAGAGGCAAGUGGAAUUCCAUGUGUAGCGGUAAAAUGCGUAAAUAUAUGGAGGAACACCAGUGGCGAAGGCGGCUUGCUGGGUCUACACUGACGCUGAGGCACGAAAGCGUGGGGAGCAAACAGGAUUAGAUACCCUGGUAGUACACGCCGUAAACGAUGAGUACUGAGUGUUGGAGAAAUUCAGUGCUGUAGUUAACGCAAUAAGUACUCCGCCUGAGUAGUACGUACGCAAGUAUGAAACUCAAAGGAAUUGACGG
rnacentral:rRNA from 1 species